CUCCAGGAACUUUUUGUUGUUGUUGAGUUUACAAUAAUUAAAGGCGCUGCAUUGUCAAUCUGAUGUCUGCAUUGGCCGUGCAGCAUUUACGGUAAUACAGCCUAUGCAGAAGUCAGGGCAUUCAUACUUCUUGCACUUCUGCUCAACAGCUCGGUGCUGUUCCGCGAUCUGUUGUGAAGGGUAGGUUGGAAGAUGGCGGCGAGUGCAGACGAGAUUUCAGCUUGCUCCGAGUAACCUUAACUUUUAUCCCUCUCAAACUUACUUAAAUGUAACGCAACUUGGCUUAUAGUAAACACACUAGAGAACGCUUAGUUGACCGCUAAUUUGAUCUGAAACUGAGAAAUGGAAGAAAAAAAUGUGCGAAAAAGCAAAGGGAGGAGUGGGCAGUUGCUAGCUGAGCACUCAUACAUUGGAGAAAAACCGCUACCUGACUCCUCGGGAGAAGAAAUGGAGGAUUCUGGACAUUCGGUUGAUUCAGAAAAUGUCAAUAGUCCUGCACCCCAAAAGACACAAAGAAUUGUCUUUGCGCGAACUACGGGUCAACAUAAUCGAUGCUGUCUCUGCAAAGAUAAACGAAAGAGCCGAUGGUCUGGAGAAAAUGAUACGCGAAAACACAUCAAAAAUAGUUGACCUCGAGACCUCUCUGAAUCAUACAUACAAGAGUAUGGAGGAGCUUAAACUUGCAAACACUGCUACUUCUGAGAAAUGCACUGCACAGGAGAAGACCAUCGCAGACAUGCAAGAGCGCUUAUCGGAAGUAGAGCGAUACCGGAGAAGGUGUGGGCUACGGCUUUACGGUGUCCCCGAGGACCAGGAUGAGAAUGUGAAGCGCUUAGUAAGAGACAUCUGUAACCGUCUGGCACCGGACUUUCUAUAUAGAUAUAUGGCUGUGGAUGUCACUCAUCGUAUUGGGAAGAAACAAGACGCCAUCGUCAGCCGCUCGAUCAUCAUCCAGUUUGCUUUUCGCACAGCAAGAGAUGCAGUUUGGAAGAAAGCAAAGGAAAGCGCAUUUCUGAAAGAGAGAACAUUUAGAUUCGGUGAGGACUUGACUGCAGCAGCAAAGGCAAAAUUGUGGCCUCUUGUACAACAGUCCCGAAAUCAAGGAAAGGGUGGAUACUACAGGGGAAUCAGAGCCUUUUCGCCAACGGAAAAGAAAUACGACCGGGGUGAUUUGUUCUGUCGGUAGGUUUACAAGUGAUGAAGACAAGGUUUCAUUCAAAUCUAAAGUGGUGCUGUCAAAAAAAUAUUGAAUACCCAAAGGCAUUGCUGGCAAGUAUACACUAUAACUAAAAUACUAUACACGUCCCAUCGUCAUGUGAAUGAAACCCUUUGAGUUGGACAUUGUCGGUCACACACUCUCCAAAGUACGUCCCAAAUGGAACACUAUUGCCUAGAAUCAGUGCACUUCUUUUGACCAAAGCCCAUAGGAUGCUGGUCAAAAGUAGGGCACUAAGGGGAAUAUGGCACCAUUUGGGACUUAUUCCCAGACUCUUCUCUAAUUUAAACCUAUCACUCUCAAGACACGUGAAAAGCUUUAGCCAAUGGGUUAAUAGUUAUGCUGAAACAACACUGUGUGUCAUUUCAGACAAGCUGAUGCAAUGACUCUUCAAAUGCAAAAAGGCCUGAACAGGUUGGCUUUCUGAAUGGACACAUCCCCAGAGCAGGGAAACAGAGCACACCUAACCAGACUGAGAGGAUGAUGUCCCAGGGGGUAUUUGGAAGCCCAGUAGAGUCUCUGUAGAUGGAGACAUUUCCCUGAUAUGUAGACCCCAUAGCACCAGGCCCUGGAACCUGCCUAAACUAACACCUGUACCCUGUCAUAACACCUUGCCAUGCCACAACCGGGAAAAUUAAGUGUCAUCAAGGACAGACACUCUGAAGAGUUUUGUGAAUACUGCAUUAUUGUUCCAGAAGCUAUGGCUAAAUAAUUAUACAUGAUUUACUGGACAUGUGUAGGCUAUGCCUUAUCUCAAAUAUAUAUUUUUUUAAAGACAACUUUGUUAAGGCAGGGUAACAAUUCCUGUGAAGGCAUUCAUUAUAAAAGUGUAUUGCAACAGACAGCCUCUUGCCAGACAAAUUCCUUCACAGGCAUCACUGGAAGAAAUACUGUUAUUAAACCACAGCCUGUGACCAUUUACUUGAGCUGUUUGUGUAGUGGUGUGGUGUGUUACUUUCCACUGUGUAAUAUCUUUCUGACAACUGCUGCUCUACUUUACCCUCAACUGAGUGGGUCAUGAGUCAUACGCUUCUUUUGUUCCUGUGAUCUUCACUGCAAUUUCAUUGAACAGAAGUCAGAAGUCACAGCUUUAGAACAAAAAGGAAGUUAAGCAGCUGAUUACUGUAAUCAUGACAUUUUACUAGAAGAUAGUUACACUAAUGGAUUGACCGUUCAUGUAUAUAAUAACACACUAGACCUAGCUGGAGUUGUUAGCUUGCACUUGUGGAACUAUGCAUUAUACUGCAAUAAUAACUAUUGAUAGAAGUUCAGGAUGUAAUCCUCUUGGUGGUGCUGUGAUCUGUGUCACUGAUUUAAUAAAAACAACAAUACAAUGAAUCUUUUAAAAAGACCAUACCUACAGUCAGUUACAUCAUGAUAUGUUGGAUGGUUUUCAGUAUUUGAUACUGUUAAGUUUAAUCAUUUGGUCCGUGAGAAUGCUGCAACUGUUCACGUGGUGUACAAAAAGUCUCUUACCUCUGAUCUGCAUGUUGAGGUGGUCUUAGUUUUAUAAGACAGUUUCUGUUCUGACAUGCCAAGGUCACGAUAUGUACUGAAAUAUAAACCAACAUCAUAGGAAAAGUCUAUAUCAAUAUUACACAAGCAACAUCUACAUUCUCAGCAUACAACAUUAAAAUGUUAAACUAUUUAAAACGUUUACAUUUUGAUAUCUAGUAUUUCCAUUCACUCACCCAGGAUCUUAACGAUCAGAAUAACAUUCAGAACACUGUAAAUGGACAGAAGACAGUUCUCCCACGAUGACCUGCUGGCUGGUUUAGAUAGUCAGCAUAAACCUCUUGUGGAAAACAAAACAGAUUUACUGCACAGCCAAUGUCAUAUGUCCUGAGUUAUUCUAAACCAUCUUUACAUUUACAAGACAUCAUACAUUUGUAACAGAAUAAGGAAGACAGUAAUAAACAGAGGAAGUUAAAAUUGGUCUGCAUCCCACAUUCAACAUACGUUGUCAGAGGACAAAUACUCAAAAUG